GCCCCGUUUAGCUCAGUUGGUAGUGCGCUCCACUGGAAAUGGAGAGGUCCCGGGUUCAAAACCCGGACCAGGCG
rnacentral:tRNA from 1 species